rnacentral:rRNA from 1 species
CCUACGGGAGGCAGCAGUGAGGAAUAUUGGUCAAUGGACGAGAGCCUGAACCAGCCAAGUCGCGUGAAGGAUGAAUGCCCUAUGGGUUGUAAACUUCUUUUAUAUGGGAAUAAAGUGUUCCACGUGUGGGAUUUUGUAUGUACCAUAUGAAUAAGGCACGGCUAACCCCGGUCCAGGAGCCCCGGUAAUACGGAGGGUCCGAGCGUUAUCCGGAUUUUCUGGGUUUAAAGGGAGCCUAGGUGGAGUGUUAAGUCAGUUGUGAAAGUUUGCGGCUCAACCGUAAAAUUGCAGUUGAAACUGGCAGUCUUGAGUGGAGUAGAGGUAGGCGGAAUGCGUGGUGUAGCGGUGAAAUGCUUAGAUAUCACGAAGAACCCCGAUUGCGAAGGCAGUUCACUGGACUGCAACUGACGCUGAGGCACGAAAGUGUGGGUAUCAAACAGGAUUAGAUACCCGUGUAGUC